rnacentral:rRNA from 1 species
AUACGGAGGGGGCGAGCGUUGUCCGGAAUGAUUGGGCGUAAAGGGCGCGUAGGCGGCCCGGUAAGUCUGGAGUGAAAGUCUUGUUUUUAAGAUGGGAAUUGCUUUGGAUACUGUCGGGGUUGAGCGCAGGAGAGGGAAGUGGAAUUCCCAGUGUAGCGGUGAAAUGCGUAGAGAAUGGGAGGAACACCAGUGGCGAAGGCGACUUACUGGACUGUAACUGACGCUGAGGCGCGAAAGUGUGGGGAGCGAACAGGAUUAGAUACCCUGGUAGUCCACACUGUAAACGAUGAAUGCUAGGUGUAGGGGGUAUCGACCCCUUCUGUGCCGCAGUCAACACAAUAAGCAUUCCGCCUGGGGAGUACGGCCGCAAGGUUGAAACUCAAAUGAAUUGACGGGG